rnacentral:misc_RNA from 1 species
GUAUUUGAUUUUAAAGGCUGUAACGCCUAAAAUUACAUUCCAAUACAUUCUUAUGGUGUAUAUAGAGACAUAGAUCUGAACCCAAGAAAAGCUGGCUUUUACACGCAGCAAUCCUCUGACCGAGUUUCCCCGAGAGUUGUUCAGAUCUACACAAGGUGCACAGGUGGUUAAAAAUGGAGUGAGCGUGCACAUGCCCCGAAGAGCCAGCAACAACCCAACCAAGUUUAUUCAAUAAUGAUCCUUCCGCAGGUUCACCUACGGAAA